GUCUCCGUAGCUCAGUCAGCAGAUCAUCCGACUAUGGAGCGGUAGAACUCGGGUUCGAGCCCCGCUGAGGGCA